UGUGUGCGCGCGCACGCAUACAGAGAGAGAUAGAAGGGGAAACCUUGUUCUUGAUAAUCUCCUCUAAAUCAUUCAAUUCAAACUGAAAUCGAAGUGAUUAUAGUGAAUGCUUGAAGUUCUGAUAAGUACUACUUCAUCCUAACACAAGGCGACUCGAGUGAUAAGGUAGGUGAUAAAGCCUGGAGUGAUACACGACUUAAAAGAAAGCUCUAAGGUGAACUCAUAGCAAGUGUCGGAUGAUGAAGAUCAAGUCUCGAAGGACUGAACACUCUUUAAUUAAAUGAAAUGUCUUCAGUUUUUGUUAAAAAAAUUUAAUGAAUCUAGUAUUAUGUUUAGUCAUGACAAGCUACUAGUAACUUGUUAGUUUAUUAUCUAAACUCUUUGGAUGUUUAUGAAAAAAAAUUACUAGUUUUAAGGGGAA